UCUUUAUUUUAAAAAUUUUAUUACUUAAGUAGUGUGAACAAUUAAUUUAUAAAAAAUAGUAUAAGUGAUAUAAAGUUAGAAUGUUUGAAACUUAAAAGGCUUGGCGGUGUUAUAUAUCCUUCCAGAGGAGUUUGCUUAUUAAUUUGAUAAUCCUCAAUUUAUACUUACUUUUUUUUGAAUUUUAUAAAGUAAAGAUCAGUUUGUAUAUUGCUGUCUUCAGUUUAUUUUGUAAAAAUUUUAUAAGAAACUUAAUAAUGAAAUGAUUAUUAUGUCAAGUCAAAAUGCAGCUAAUAAAAAAGGUUUAAAGUGAACUACAAUUUAUAAUUUUUAAUUCGGAUUAAGUUAUGUAAUUAAUUUGUGAAGUUGGAUUUGGUAGUAAUAUUAUAAUAGUGAGUUUUUGUGAAUUAGGUUUUAUAAUGCGU
rnacentral:rRNA from 1 species